GACGAACGCUGGCGGCGUGCCUAACACAUGCAAGUCGAGCGAAUGAAGUUCCUUCGGGAACGGAUUUAGCGGCGGACGGGUGAGUAACACGUGGGCAACCUGCCUCAUAGAGGGGAAUAGCCUUCCGAAAGGGAGAUUAAUACCGCAUAAGAUUGUAGUACCGCAUGGUACAGCAAUUAAAGGAGCAAUCCGCUAUGAGAUGGGCCCGCGGCGCAUUAGCUAGUUGGUGAGGUAACGGCUCACCAAGGCGACGAUGCGUAGCCGACCUGAGAGGGUGAUCGGCCACAUUGGGACUGAGACACGGCCCAGACUCCUACGGGAGGCAGCAGUGGGGAAUAUUGGUCAAUGGGCGAGAGCCUGACCAGCCAAGUAGCGUGCAGGACGACGGCCC
rnacentral:rRNA from 1 species